GUAACAGAGGACCACCCCUCCCCACCCUCUCUCCAUCUGACUGCGCCCAGCUCCUCAUCGUCAUCCUUCAUCCUCAUCCUGCUGCAGCCUCACGCGCCCCUAAAAACAUGUUAGGAUCUACUAUUCUCGUUGGAAUGCCUCGGGAGCUUCCCUGGACUCAGUUAGGGAUUCGAGAACAACAACAACUAAAGGAUGCGCAGGUCCGACGUCCACAUCCUUGCCCCCCUCUCAGCAUCCUCAUCCCUCCCACCUCCCAUCCUGCGCAGGGCUCCAAGGAUCGGGUUGAAGCGCUCGAUCGUCGGACACAAGACUAACCAGCAACGGCCUCCACUCCCAUCGCUUUCAAAAGGCAUCCAUGCGGGCUGGAAGGCAAAAAUAUUGCAAGAAGUAUCACAAGAUUAACAUUUCGUGUGCCGUGUGAA